ACUAGCCCGGGCCACGAUAGGUCGGACUACAGCUGGUAGCAACUGGGGGUCGGAAGUGGAGCCCAGACAACAGCGGAGGAGAAAUUUCCGGGGCAGAAAAUGAAGGUGUCCGAGAGACUGACAAUUCUCUUCUGACUUCCUCAGUGCUAACUGGCUUUGGGUAUCUCCUGCAGCAAAGUGGCCGCCCCGCCCUCUCAU
rnacentral:sRNA from 1 species